rnacentral:rRNA from 1 species
CCUAGUGCUGGACCGUGUAAAAGUCUCCUGGAAUGGAGCAUCACAGAGGGUGAGAAUCCCGUCUUUGACACGGACUGCCUGUACGAUAUGGUGCGCUCUCGAAGAGUCGAGUUGUUUGGGAAUGCAGCUCAAAAUGGGUGGUAAAUGCCAUCUAAAGCUAAAUAUUGGCGAGAGACCGAUAGCGAACAAGUACCGUGAGGGAAAGAUGAAAAGAACUUUGGAAAGAGAGUUAAACAGUACGUGAAAUUGCUGAAAGGGAAACGCUUGAAGUCAGUCACGUCGGCUAGAAAUCAGCCUUUGCUUUUGCUUGGUGUACUUUCUGGUUGAUGGGUCAGCAUCAAUUUUGAUCAUUGGAUAAAGUCGUUGGGAAUGUGGCAUCUUAGGAUGUGUUAUAGCCCAUUGUCGCAUACAGUGGUUGGGAUUGAGGAACUCAGCACGCCGCAAGGCCGGGUCUUUGACCACGUUCGUGCUUAGGAUGCUGGCAUAAUGGCUUUAAUCGACCCGUCUUGAAACACGGACCAAGGAGUCUAACAUGCCUGCGAGUGUUUGGGUGGAAAACCCAUGCGCGAAAUGAAAGUGAAAGUUGAGAUCCCUUUGGGGAGCAUUGACGCCCGGACCAGACCUUCUGUGACGGAUCCGCGGUAGAGCAUGUAUGUUGGGACCCGAAAGAUGGUGAACUAUGCCUGAAUAGGGUGAAGCCAGAGGAAACUCUGGUGGAGGCUCGUAGCGAUUCUGACGUGCAAAUCGAUCGUCAAAUUUGGGUAUAGGGGCGAAAGACUAAUCGAACCAUCUAGUANCUGGUUCCUGCCGAAGUUUCCCUCAGAUAGCAAAAACUCAUGUGUCAGAUUUWUGUGGUAAAGCGAAUGAUUAAAGGCCUUGGGGUUGAAAMACCUUAACCUAUUCYCMACUUUAAAAUUUAA